UACAGAGGGGGCGAGCGUUGUUCGGAAUUACUGGGCGUAAAGGGCUCGUAGGCGGCCAACUAAGUCGGACGUGAAAUCCCUCGGCUUAACCGGGGAACUGCGUCCGAUACUGGAUGGCUUGAGUUCGGGAGAGGGAUGCGGAAUUCCAGGUGUAGCGGUGAAAUGCGUAGAUAUCUGGAGGAGCACCGGUGGCGAAGGCGGCAUCCUGGACCGACACUGACGCUGAGGAGCGAAAGCCAGGGGAGCAAACAGG
rnacentral:rRNA from 1 species